CGGUGGUAACUAUAACCAUCCUAAGGUAGCGAAAUUCCUUGUCGGGUAAGUUCCGACCUGCACGAAUGGCGUAACGACUUCUCAACUGUCUCAACCAUAGACUCGGCGAAAUUGCACUACGAGUAAAGAUGCUCGUUACGCGCGGCAGGACGAAAAGACCCCGGGACCUUCACUAUAGCUUGGUAUUGGCGUUUGGUUCGGUUUGUGUAGGAUAGGUGGGAGACUGUGAAGCAGGCACGCCAGUGUUUGUGGAGUCAUCGUUGAAAUACCACUCUGAUCGUAUUGAACCUCUAACCUCGGACCGUAUAUCCGGUCCAGGGACAGUGCCUGGUGGGUAGUUUAACUGGGGCGGUUGCCUCCCAAAAUGUAACGGAGGCGCCCAAAGGUUCCCUCAACCUGGACGGCAAUCAGGUGUUGAGUGCAAGUGCACAAGGGAGCUUGACUGCGAGACCUACAAGUCAAGCAGGGACGAAAGUCGGGACUAGUGAUCCGGCACCUCUGAGUGGAAGGGGUGUCGCUCAACGGAUAAAAGGUACCCCGGG
rnacentral:rRNA from 1 species